CCUACGGGAGGCAGCAGUGGGGAAUAUUGCACAAUGGGGGAAACCCUGAUGCAGCGACGCCGCGUGAGUGAAGAAGUAAUUCGUUAUGUAAAGCUCUAUCAGCAGGGAAGAAAAUGACGGUACCUGAGUAAGAAGCCCCGGCUAACUACGUGCCAGCAGCCGCGGUAAUACGUAGGGGGCAAGCGUUAUCCGGAUUUACUGGGUGUAAAGGGAGCGUAGACGGCACUGCAAGUCUGGAGUGAAAGGCGGGGGCUCAACCCCCGGACUGCUCUGGAAACUGUACGGCUUGAGUGCAGGAGAGGUAAGGGGAAUUCCUAGUGUAGCGGUGAAAUGCGUAGAUAUUAGGAGGAACACCAGUGGCGAAGGCGGCUUACUGGACUGUAACUGACGUUGAGGCUCGAAAGCGUGGGGAGCAAACAGGAUUAGAUACCCGUGUAGUC
rnacentral:rRNA from 1 species